GGCUUUCAGAUAGUUAUAAGGAGGGUUAAAAAGUUUCCUAAACUUUAGAUGCAGGUUCGAUUCCUGCCGGAGCCAC
rnacentral:tRNA from 1 species